AAUUUAUGUGGAUUCAGCAGCUCGAGCCAGCCACCACAACUGUGGUUUGUACCUAAUUCUACUGAAUAAUCACAGUAAAUGGGAAGAUCUCGAAAGCUGGUUGACAUUGGUUUUGAGUGUAGGUCUUUGCAUACUUAAUCAAUGAGAGCAUCUCCAUUGGGAGUAUUUCAAUGAGAUACCUAAUAAAAAAAAUAAUAAUUAAAAAAAAAAAAGUAAGAGAGAAGAAAGAAAAAGUAAGAGAGAAGGAGAAUUGAAUUUCUCGCAGGAGAAACUUUGAGAAACUAUUCUCAUCUAAAUUGGACAGCUGUCAUCGUAUUAUUAGUUCAAGUAUUAAAUAAUAAUUAAUAUUUCUGUUUUGAUUAAAAUAUAUAUAUAUAUAUAUUUUUUUUGAAAAACUUUCCUUACUUUUACUGAUGGAGAUGCUCUGAGUAGUAGUAUAUUUUAAAGAAUAU
rnacentral:sRNA from 1 species